AGAGUUUGAUCAUGGCUCAGAUUGAACGCUGGCGGCAGGCUUAACACAUGCAAGUCGAGCGGUAACAGGAGAAGCUUGCUUCUUGCUGACGAGCGGCGGACGGGUGAGUAAUACUUAGGAAUCUGCCCAGUAGUGGGGGAUAGCUCGGGGAAACUCGAAUUAAUACCGCAUACACCCUACGGGGAAAAGGGGGCGCUUGCGCUCUCGCUAUUGGAUGAGCCUAAGUCGGAUUAGCUAGUUGGUGGGGUAAAGGCCUACCAAGGCGACGAUCUGUAGCUGGUCUGAGAGGAUGAUCAGCCACACCGGGACUGAGACACGGCCCGGACUCCUACGGGAGGCAGCAGUGGGGAAUAUUGGACAAUGGGGGGAACCCUGAUCCAGCCAUGCCGCGUGUGUGAAGAAGGCCUUUUGGUUGUAAAGCACUUUAAGCAGUGAAGAAGACUCUAUGGUUAAUACCCAUAGACGAUGACAUUAGCUGCAGAAUAAGCACCGGCUAACUCUGUGCCAGCAGCCGCGGUAAUACAGAGGGUGCAAGCGUUAAUCGGAAUUACUGGGCGUAAAGCGAGCGUAGGUGGCUUAAUAAGUCAGAUGUGAAAUCCCCGGGCUUAACCUGGGAACUGCAUCUGAUACUGUUAGGCUAGAGUAGGUGAGAGGGAGGUAGAAUUUCAGGUGUAGCGGUGAAAUGCGUAGAGAUCUGAAGGAAUACCGAUGGCGAAGGCAGCCUCCUGGCAUCAUACUGACACUGAGGUUCGAAAGCGUGGGUAGCAAACAGGAUUAGAUACCCUGGUAGUCCACGCCGUAAACGAUGUCUACUAGUCGUUGGGGAACUUGAUUCCUUAGUGACGCAGCUAACGCAAUAAGUAGACCGCCUGGGGAGUACGGCCGCAAGGUUAAAACUCAAAUGAAUUGACGGGGGCCCGCACAAGCGGUGGAGCAUGUGGUUUAAUUCGAUGCAACGCGAAGAACCUUACCUGGUCUUGACAUAUCUAGAAUCCUGCAGAGAUGCGGGAGUGCCUUCGGGAAUUAGAAUACAGGUGCUGCAUGGCUGUCGUCAGCUCGUGUCGUGAGAUGUUGGGUUAAGUCCCGCAACGAGCGCAACCCUUUUCCUUAGUUACCAGCGGUUUGGCCGGGGACUCUAAGGAUACUGCCAGUGACAAACUGGAGGAAGGCGGGGACGACGUCAAGUCAUCAUGGCCCUUACGACCAGGGCUACACACGUGCUACAAUGGUAGGUACAGAGGGCUGCUACACAGCGAUGUGAUGCGAAUCUCAAAAAGCCUAUCGUAGUCCAGAUUGGAGUCUGCAACUCGACUCCAUGAAGUCGGAAUCGCUAGUAAUCGCGGAUCAGAAUGCCGCGGUGAAUACGUUCCCGGGCCUUGUACACACCGCCCGUCACACCAUGGGAGUUGAUUGCACCAGAAGUGGGUAGCCUAACUUUUAGAGGGCGCUCACCACGGUGUGGUCGAUGACUGGGGUGAAGUCGUAACAAGGUAGCCGUAGGGGAACCUGCGGCUGGAUCACCUCCUU
rnacentral:rRNA from 1 species